AAGUAUCUGAAGGAGACUUUUACAGCUUCAAUGUCACUGAUGGAGGAGUUUAUUACUGUGUGGCCACCAAUCAGCUUGGUGAUCAAACAUCCUCAGAGGUCCAUUUGACUAUAGGAGGUGACGUUAAUUAUCCACUAUUGGGUGCAGUUCUUGGAGGAAUCAUUGGGAUCAUCGUGCUCAUUGGCCUGGUUGUCUUUGUUUGGCGUUUGAAGUCUCCACAUCUAACUGCACAUCAGAGUCAGAAUCACACCGUUGAAGAGACAGUGACAACAGAAGAAGGAGACGUCCACUAUGGAGAGAUUAACUUCUCGAGGCUCGGACCUGGACCGUCCUCGGUCUUGGAGCAGAACGGUGGACAGCAGGAGGACACGCUGUAUGCGCAGGUCAGGCACGCGCACAGAUAGACCCCUAAUAGUGCUGAAGCACCUGCCCUUUUGCCCUGCUGGAGCCCAAUUUUUUCUUCAUUUAUCAAUAUUUAAGAAUAAGAAUUACUCUCUCUGUCAUCAACCCCCCCAAAUGUGUUUGAUAUUUGACGUGGCAUUUAUUUGAGUUAUCGUGGAAAUUUCGCUCACAAGCUCUGGAAAAAAAGAUGCUUUUUACAAAUAUAACACGCUUCAUCUGUCAGUUUAUGUGGAAAAGGAAUCCUGAGAAAAUGUAACGAAUGCAACACAUCCAAUACAAAAUCCUUCUCCUCACUCACAAAGCCCUCCAUAAUCAGGCCCCCUACUUCACCGACCUGCUCCACCAUCACCUUCACCACCACCAAACAUGGGGUGACAGAGCCUUCUCCAUCGCUGCCCCCUCCCUCUGCAACACUCUCCCCAAACUCAAAACACAAAUCAAAACCCACCUCUUCGGAAUGUAAUGUAAUUUAAUGUAUGAGUAUGUGUUGUGUGUGCGUUUUCUCUUUGCUGGGUUUUAUUAUUUAUUAUUAUUAUCUUCACCGUUCACAGCCCAGGUAGUUUUAGCAAUCAUUUUAUACUUUAGACACACUGAGGUUUGUGUUUAUCAAAUUAGUACAAACAAAAGUCCCACAGCUCUAAAUAGAGCAGUAUUCUAAAGACAGUGCUGUUCAUAUAUCAUCAUGUGCUAUUAUUAGAUUUUAAAUGUUUUUAUGUUUAUCGUAUGUGAUGUAAUAUCAGUAGUAUUCAUUAUUAUCCACUUUGUGUUUGUGCCACCUCAGUUUUUUCUCACAUCAGAAACAUUUAGAUCCAGGUUUCUAGGCUACAGGAUCAUAUCAGAUGUGCUGUUUUGUAUUAAUAAAAAUUAAAGAACUUUAAAGUGG